ACUGAACGCUGGCGGCAGGCCUAACACAUGCAAGUCGAGCGGAUGAAGGGGGCUUGCUCCUGGAUUCAGCGGCGGACGGGUGAGUAAUGCCUAGGAAUCUGCCUGGUAGUGGGGGAUAACGUCCGGAAACGGGCGCUAAUACCGCAUACGUCCUGAGGGAGAAAGUGGGGGAUCUUCGGACCUCACGCUAUCAGAUGAGCCUAGGUCGGAUUAGCUAGUUGGUGGGGUAAAGGCCUACCAAGGCGACGAUCCGUACUGGUCUGAGAGGAUGAUCAGUCACACUGGAACUGAGACACGGUCCAGACUCCUACGGGAGGCAGCAGUGGGGAAUAUUGGACAAUGGGCGAAAGCCUGAUCCAGCCAUGCCGCGUGUGUGAAGAAGGUCUUCGGAUUGUAAAGCACUUUAAGUUGGGAGGAAGGGCAGUAAGUUAAUACCUUGCUGUUUUGACGUUACCAACAGAAUAAGCACCGGCUAACUUCGUG
rnacentral:rRNA from 1 species